GAGACACUAGUAAAAAGACAAUUACACUGCUUUGUCAAGGCAGAUUUGCAGGUUAGACCCCUGCGUGUCUUA
rnacentral:tRNA from 1 species